UAACAUCCGGAAACGGGUGACGUAAUACCGCAUAGUUUUCUUGAUCGCAUGAUCGGGAAAGGAAAGACGGCCUUUGUGCUGUCGCUUAUGGAUGGGACCCGCGGCGUAUUAGUUAGUUGGUGAGGUAACGGCUCACCAAGACGAUGAUACGUAGCCGACCUGAGAGGGUGAUCGGCCACAUUGGGACUGAGACACGGCCCAAACUCCUACGGGAGGCAGCAGUAGGGAAUCUUCCGCAAUGGACGAAAGUCUGACGGAGCAACGCCGCGUGAGUGAAGAAAAGGUUUUCGGAUCGUAAAACUCUGUUGUCAGAGAAGAACAAGUUGGAGAGUAACUGCUCCAGCCUUGACGGUAUCUGACCAGAAAGCCACGGCUAACUACGUGCCAGCAGCGGC
rnacentral:rRNA from 1 species